UACGGGGGGGGCAAGCGUUGUCCGGAAUCAUUGGGCGUAAAGAGCGUGUAGGCGGCCAGAUAAGUCCGCUGUGAAAUCUCGAGGCUCAACUUCGAGCUGUCGGUGGAAACUGUCUGGCUAGAGUCCGGAAGAGGAGAAUGGAAUUCCUGGUGUAGCGGUGGAAUGCGCAGAUAUCAGGAGGAACACCUAAGGCGAAGGCAGCUCGCUGGAACGGUACUGACGCUGAGGCGCGAAAGCGUGGGGAGCAAACAGG
rnacentral:rRNA from 1 species